rnacentral:lncRNA from 1 species
GGCCGUUGCGGCUGCCUAAGCCAUGGUCCCUUUUAAUCAGUCCGCGACUCUACGUUUUCGGGCGCGGAAACAAUCAUAACCUGCAGUAGUCUAGCCGACAGUGAUCGCACUCUAACGCGGUGCUCCGCCAGCUUCAUCAAAGAACACUGUUCUUGCUUCCACCGGAGGCACGUUUCGGGAAAUAUGGGCCAACUGGCUAGCACUUGCAGGUCUCGUUAUGGGUGGGGCGCCAGGCGUGAGGAGCGCCGACUGGCUCAGGAACCCUCGGCGGGAACGGAGCCACCAGAGCCACUGGCUUCGCAAGGUGGUGGAAGCAUCUCGCGAGCAGCUGGACCGAGUAAAUCCCCUUCGCAAGAAGCACAGCCUGCCGUCGACCCCACCAGCCACCACGACAUCGAAGACUUCUCCACAUCGGCUAGCGUAAUGACACAGCUGUCCCUGGUUCUCAUGCAACCUGGCGCUGGUCCGAGCCAGAAGCCUGACGAUAUCGGGCAGGUCUCGCCGGCGAACGACCAUGAGACGGCAGUGCCUGACGAUGCCGUGCAGACCCGCAGCUUGUUCUGCUUCGGCUUCUGAAACACGGCAACAAGCCCAGCUUUGACAGCCCCCACUGUCGGCUCUACUUGGAGGGUGGCCAGGCUGCAAGGAUGGAGAUCUCUUCUUUCGCACUCUCUCAUAAUCAUCCCUAGAGCUGUCUUCGUAUAGCUUAUCAUGUCUGACGAGGUGACCGUGCCGAAUAAAGUGAUGUCCAUGUGCUUUCA